rnacentral:lncRNA from 1 species
CAAUUUAGGUUUUAAAACCCUAAUGCUGACUGAAAGAAAAAGUUCAGUUUAGGGUUUAAAACCCUAAUGCUGACUGAAAGAAAAAGUUCAGUUUAGGGUUUAAAACCCUAAUGCUGAUUACAUGGAAAAGCUCAAUUUAGGGUUUAAAACCCUAAUGAUGACUAAAAGGUAAAUUCAGUUUAGGGUUUAAAACCCUAAUGCUGAUUACAUGGAAAAGCUCAGUUUAGGGUUUAAAACCCUAAUGCUGACUAAAAGGAAAAUUCAAUUUAGGGUUUAAAACCCUAAUGCUGAUUGCAUGGAAAAGCUCAGUUUAGGGUUUAAAACCCUAAUGCUGGCUGAAAGGAAAAAGUUCAGUUUAGGGUUUAAAACCCUAAUGCUGACUAAAGGAAAAAUUUAGUUUAGGGUUUAAAACCCUAAUGCUGACUAAAAGGAAAAUUCAGUUUAGGGUUUAAAACACUAGUGUUGAUUGCAUGGAAAAGCUCAGUUUAGGGUUUAAAACCCUAAUGCUGGCUGAAAGGAAAAAGUUUAGUUUAGGGUUUAAAACCCUAAUGCUGACUAAAAGGAAAAGUUCAGUUUAGGUUUUAAAACCCUAAUGCUGACUGAAAGAAAAA